UAGCUCAGUUGGGAGAGCGUCAGACUGAAGAUCUGAAGGUUUCUGGUUCAAUCCGGA
rnacentral:tRNA from 1 species